rnacentral:piRNA from 1 species
GCAGCCAGGUAGAGAAGUUUGGAGUG